UGGACUGCGCAUAUAAACGCAAGCUACACAAAAGUGACAUGGACAAGAACAGCGCAAGCCCUUUACAUGCAGUGGAGCCGCCGUAUCUCGCCGUUCAAGAUAUGCGUACUCGUAAGUGGCAUUUUAAUUUCACGUUGUGUAAUGCAUGACUGUCUUUUUCAAGUGAACAAAGGUCGCUUUGUAUUGUGUAAAUGGUUUUGCAACGUAUGAUAAACUCCUUGUCUUUCGGGCUUAUUUUUUUUGACAGGAAAAAAAAAAAAAAAGAGAGGCUUUACAUGAGAACGGAUCAAGCGUUCGAGAGUUGGGACAGGGAAAUGAAACACUGGAACGACACUGCUUAAAUUGAAGCACAGUGUGCGAAUGACCUGCUACGCUCGGAACUGUUAUCACCAUUCGGGAAGAAAUUGGAUGAAAAAACAUAACUGUAAAUACCUGUAUGAUAUACGUCUGGUGCAUUGCAGGUAAGAAUGGAUUGUGUGUGGCGCGCUUCACCGCAUGUGGACUAGAGUAGAUCUAGGAACAUCAGACAAGAAGACACGUAUGUGAAACCCUGCGGAUAGCCCAUAUGUAAGUUCUUCCUCAAUUUUUCUUUUGUUGCAUUUUCGUAGUUUACGUGUAAUACUUUGUCACCGCGGUCUCGACGUUAUGUAUACCUAUACAUUUGUCUCGUGGCAGUCUGCGUGCUAUUUUGUUUGUGCAACUAUGUGUUGUAUUCAUUUAUCGAGCUGCUUGG
rnacentral:lncRNA from 1 species